AUUGAACGCUGGCGGUAUGCUUUACACAUGCAAGUCGAACGGUAGAGGGGCAACCCUUGAGAGUGGCGAACGGGUGAGUAAUACAUCGGAACGUGCCCAGUCGUGGGGGAUAACGUAGCGAAAGCUACGCUAAUACCGCAUACGACCUGAGGGUGAAAGCGGGGGACCUGCAAGGGCCUCGCGCGAUUGGAGCGGCCGAUGGCAGAUUAGGUAGUUGGUGAGGGAAAGGCUCACCAAGCCGACGAUCUGUAUCUGGUCUGAGAGGACGACCAGCCACACUGGGAAUGAGACACGGCCCAGACUCCUACGGGAGGCAGCAGUGGGGAAUUUUGGAAAAUGGGCGCAAGCCUGAUCCAGCCAUACCGCGUGCAGGAAGAAGGCCUUCGGGUUGUAAACUGCUUUUGUCAGGGAAGAAAUCUUCUGGGCUAAUACCCUGAGAGGAUGACGGUACCUGAAGAAUAAGCACCGGCUAACUACGUGCCAGCCGCCGCCGUAA
rnacentral:rRNA from 1 species